GAACAUGCACAAUUGGUGGCUGACUAAAUACUUUUUUGCCCCACUGUGUGUGUGUGUGUGUGUGUGUGUGUGUGUAUAUAUAGAUAGAUUAAAAGCAGAAGGAGCCUUUUAGAUCUCGGAAGAAAUGGAUUGAGGGAGAACAGAAUUCAUCCUAUUUCUUUAGACUUCAGAAAUUUCACUCUACAAAUAACACUAUCCAUAAGUUAAACAUUGGUGUUAUUACAGAUGACCACAAUUAAUCGCUAAAUACUGUAGCAAUUUUUACAGAAAAUUGUAUAGCUCUACGUACUGCCAGGAAUCCACAGAUAUGAUUUUUGACUCCACUGAAUAAUGUUCACUCUAUCAGUGAUAUAGAAUCUAAACAGUGUGAACCCAUCAAAGUUGAGGAGAUUACAGUCUAUCAAACAUCUAAAGAACAAUAAAUCACCAGGUGUUGAUGGAAUUCAUCAGAAUUUUACAAAUUAUUUUUUGAACAAGUAGCUCCCUUCCUAUUUGAUGUCUUUUUAGAGUAUUAAAAACAAUGUUCUCCCUCCUACAAUGAGUCAGUGGUUAAUAACACUGAUACCUAAGCCUAAAAAAGUACUGCUCAUCGAUAAUUGGUGUCCAAUUUGUAGUCUUAAUAAUGACUACAAGAUAUUAGCCUUACUACUUGCAAAAAUAAUUAAAGAAGUCCUGGAUGCAAUCAUUGAAACACAGUUUGGCUUUAUGAGGAACAGACAUAUUUCUAACAAUAUCAGACUAGUAUUAGACAUACUUGACUACUCAGACCUAAUAACCCGUGGAUAGCUUCAUAUUUUUAGAUUUUCAUAAAGCAUUUGACACAGUAGAGCAUCAGUUCCUCUUCCAGUCCCUUGAGAGACUUGGCUUUGGGGAUUUUUUUUUCUAUAUGGCUAUUAAGACUCUACAAAUGGUAACAGCUCUAUCAAAUUAAAAUAUGACACCUCGCCUAGAUUUGAGUUAAAGAGCAGAAUUAAGCAAGGUUGUCCUAUCGCUUUUUACCUGUUUUUAUUAAUCACACAAAUUCUUUAAAUAAUUGUCCUGUACAAGUUAUUUCCAUAGCUGGUAAAGAAAUGGUUAUAAGCCAGCUGGCUGACGAUACUACACUUUUUUUCUGAAAGAUGCUAACCAAAUUCCCAUAUCGAUCAAUUUGAUACAAUCCUUUUCCAAAGCGUCUGGUCUAUAUCUUAACAUUAAUAAAUGUGAACUCAUGCCUGUCAAAGAUUGUGUGACACCUUCAUAUUAUGGUAUUAAAGAAAAGAAGAACUUACCUAUUUAGGCAUAACCAUUACAAAAAAUCGGAAGUCUAGAGGCUUACUAAAUUUUAACCCUCUUAUUUAUAAAAACAAAAACAGAACAAGCUAAAUCAAUGGCUACGUAGGGACUUCUUUUAAAAGGAAGUCCUAAUAACCAAGGCUGAAGGUAUCUCUAGACUAACAUAUGGCACUCUCUUUUAUAUCUUGACAGUAAAAUAAGCAAGGCGAUAGACCAGAUGAUUUUCUACUUUCUGUGGAGAAACCAUACCCAUUACAUUAGGAAAACUGUUGUAUUGAACACUUAUGAGAAUGGUGGGCAAAUUUUUCUGGACUUUACUAUCUUAAAUAAUAGUUUUUAAGAUCAAUUGUAUAAAACAAUUCCUAAGAAGACACACUUCUGUGUGUAAUUUUAUUCCUCAUGUCCUCUCUACUUUUGUUGGCCAUAACUUCAUGUUGGUUUGCAAUUAUAAUAUUGACAAAGUUCCAGUGAAACCUGCUGAUGAAAAGCAGAAAGUUUUCUUGUCAUGGUCCUUAAAACCCUUUCAUGCUUGAGUUUCAAAUAUCUCUAACGGUCGCCCCAGCGUGAGUUUUUUUUAAAAUUUAUUUUAUUUUUUAUGCACGUGAUGUUAGAAUGUUCUCUCCAUUCCAGAAUGUGAUUGAUACGUAACAGUGCAUUUAAUCUGCGCUGCCCUCAAACUAAAAGCACGCAGCCCGUUUUUAUUUAUAGGCUGUUUCAACUUCAAUUUCAAAUGAAUUUCUAACAAGUUUUUAUUUUCUAAGAACAGUUUGAAUUUAGGAGUGUUCCACCUCAUUCAUUCUCAUAAAAAUGGUUAUUUUUAACUUUUGUUGACAAUUGUAAUAUUUGGGGCAUUUCUGACCUGGACAAAAUUCCCCAAGCACUUCCCAAUUGUUUGUGCAGAUCAAGUCUGCAGACAUUUGUUCAUCUCCCGUCAGAACAGGAUCUGCACACGUGUUCACAUUUUCCAUCUGUUGCCCUCAUUGCAGUCAUUGUUUUCGUUACUAAUAAUAACUUUGGAAAUGUGUGCGUUUCUAUCAAAGUGAAUUAUUACGUUGUAAUAGUUUCUGUAUGUCGUUUCUAUUGUAGCGUACUGUAUGUAUGGAGCAUAAUAUAUUUGUGUAUAUUCUUUAUAACCGCGGACACGUGAGGUAACGUUACUCAUUUUAUAACCUGCAUGGUGUUAUAUUCAAUCGUGCUUAUGCAGCUAGCUACUUCUAUCAGCUCUGUAAAACAAUGCUAAUUGCAUCAGAGAAGUAUUAUCUUGUGAUGUAUUUUGAAGCUACAUGGCCUUAUGACUCCCAAGUGGCACAGGGGUCAAAGGCACGGCGCAUCCGUGCUAGAGGCGUCACUACAGACUCCCUGGUUCAAAUCCAUGCUGCAUUUCUAUCAAAAAACCACAAACAGUAUUUGCCAAUAUCAUAACUGGAAUUGGACAUCUUUGGAGCUGAAGAAUGAGGACAGCUUUUGUAUGCUAACCUACACUCCUUAAUUAACAGUUGUACUGGAUGAAAACACAGCAAGAAAACACACAGGCCAAUAUGUAAUAGUCGUCUAUUUUAUUGCAGUAUUGGUAGUUGGUUAAACAACAACUUGUACUAGAGGACAAAAAGCGGAAUAUGCAUAACCCAUAUUUAAUAUUCAUGCAGUGACUGAACAACUGCAUUUCCACCCCCACCUCUAAAGGCAUAGUAUCAUGGCAGGUCACCUGUCAAGUCACCUGUCAGGUCAGUCAGUCACUUAUUGCUGCAGAUGUGCUCAAUAAUGCUUGAGCAAUGUGAUACUCCUCAAAGCAUGGUGAAAUACAUAGAGGUGUAUCACAAGCUAAACACAUGUAUUUUGUCAUCUCCUGGCGCCAGACAGGCAGACUUUGCAGUGCCUCCGUGUGCGACUACCUUGAGCAGCAGUUUGAGGGACUUUGCAGGGAAAAUGCUGUGUAGUGAGGUGUAGGGUAUUGUCUACAGCAGGACAACCCCCAGUGGAUGGGCGCCGAGGGGUGUGGUGCUCCUCCAGCAGCUCUCUCAUGAGCUUCUCUCUGUACUUUUGGUAGGUAAUUACUUUACCUAUGAGGAUGAUGAGGCAGUGGGUAGGUGGGUGAGAUAUUGUCACUAUAAUUGCAUAAUGGAUUUAUGUGAACGGUACAUCCAGUUACAAAAAUACCUUGUUCAGUAAUCAUCUCACCUGUUAGUUGGCGGUGAACUAUGCUGCCGUUGAGGACAGCAGUGUCGACCAGAUGGAAAAAAUAUCUUCUUAUACCACUUGGUCAUAUUCAGAGUGCAUUCCACAAAGCUGUUUAUUAUGUCCUCCUUAUCCACGGCCCCCAUUUUGAGGAUAUAUUCAAGCACACAAUCUGGUUUGAUCUUUCUCUCUCCCGUCAGGUGGUCCACCUUCCCUGUGGCCGACAUGGUUGCUGUAUGGACAGUUGAGAGGACGAGGACGUCUCGUUUGUCAUGCCACUUUACUGCCAGCUGUUGACCGUUCUCCUGGAACUCCACCUCCCCUCUCUGCAUCUUCCUGCAUCCGUAUGCCGGCAUCCCCUUCCUGUUCGACCUGACUGUGCCACAGGCCCCUGUGCUGUUGGAGAGCAGAUAAGGUGGAAGAGUGUGGGACUGCUGUACCAAUUGUCCACGUAAGUCCCUUGCCGAGAUGAGUAGCCAGCAUGGUCAUCACCACGGACCCGGACACCCCAAGCCCCUCAUAAUGUUGGAUGUCAGCGGUGGACCCUGUGUAUACUAUAAUAUCCUAGACAAAUCCUGUCUUCACGUCGCACAUGACAAAGAAUUUCACUCCAAACCUGUGCCUUUUGGCGGGAAUAUAUUGACAGAAUGCCAGCCUACCUUUCCAUAACAUCAGGGACUCAUCAAUGCAUAGGUCCUUGUAUGGCACAAAGACACGCCCAAAUGCUGAUGUCAGGCUGAUAAGAACAUUUCUUAUUUUGUAUAACGGGUCACUUAGGAUGGCAGAAGCAUUGUUGACGAAAUGCAGGCAUCGCAGCAGAACAAGGAAGCGGUCUUGGGAAAAGAGGUUUGCAAAGAAGGGAGUUGUGAACAUAGGAUCUGUGCUCCAGUAUUCUCAAAGGGAGUUCUUCUUUACUAUUCCCAUGAGAAGGACUGGCACCAGGAAGGUAUACAUUUCACUAAUUGUGGUUGUCACCCAUUUAGUGAGUUUCCCCCUCACUACUGGCUCUCUCUUCUGUAGCUCCAAGGCAUAGCGAUUGGUCCCCUCUACUGUUUCCACCAACUCUUCUGUCAGAAACAACUUGAAGCACUCUGCCUCAGUUGGAAAUGGCAAGGGGCAUUGCAUUCCAGACUGCAAACAGCAGGGCCAGGAGGGGUGAAAUGACUGGCGGCCUUCCAGCUACCACAGAACUCCUGUACUUCAUCCACUGUCGUUCUGCCUCCAUCACCACCAGCAUCUUCAAAGGGACCUGGUACUUCAUCAGUGGACAAGGGAACCUCCGAUUCAGGGUUCUCAAUGGCUACAAGGUUGGGGGGCAGCUCCUUACUGUCACUGUCAGAAUCUGAUUCCUGACUUUCAGACUCAUUGUCAUAAUUUUAAGAAAUCUCCAGAAUUUCCACAUUUGUGAGUUGUCUCCUUUUCAAAGACAUUGCUAAUGCUACAGCUUAGCUCACUAGCUACAUACAUUAACAACAACACUGAAUGGCCCAGAGUGAGAUGGUAUGUGGUUGACUGCCGGCACGUACCACUUGUAUCAAUAAAUCACUAUCAAAAAAUGCUUUGUGUGGCAAUUAUUUGUGUAUUUACUGUCUUAUUCACAUGUUUUAAGUUCUUGGUGACAAAUCAUGCAUUCCGAUUCUUGCAUAGAUUGUAAUGGGCACAUAUUAUGUCUAAAAUACUUUUUUGAAGGUUGUACUGAUUAUGAGCUAAGCCAAUUCCAGCUGUGUAGCCAUGUUUGUUGACAUGCAAUGCAUUCUGGGUUUCACGUAAUCGUCUGUUUGACCAAAGAUGUUAUAACGAAAGGAAGUGAGUAAGUGUUCACAUUUUUUUUUUGAGGACUUCCAGAAAUGAGUGGUGGGAUGUGAACAACGGUAGAUGACACACCCCUUCAACAUGCAUACUAUAAACAGACCAAACUCAUCUCGUCAUAUUUGGUUUCUGCGAGGAAAAAAUGCAUGGCUGCGCGAUGAAACUAAUCGUCAGGAUUAUUUUCGAUUUUUAGAAAGUGUUUUACUGAAUUAUUUUGAUCAAUGGUGAGCUCACCCGUGAUGUGAUUAAUUAUAUAUGGUAAUUGCUAUUAGCUCAUUCAUAUUGUAGUUUAUGUCAGCCGAGAGUUAGAAAAUAUGACUGCUUGUGUUGGGUCAAUCUUUCCUCAGCGGUAGGACAAAUGUAGCCUACAUUUUUCUGGUUAGGAUGAUUGUGUUAUGCUAUAUAUACUUCUGUGAAUAUCUGAACAUUGCAUCCAAAAAUAAGCUGCUUACAUUCUGGACAUUUUUAUUUAUUUCACCUUUAUUUAACCAGGUAGGCAAGUUGAGAACAAGUUCUCAUGUACAAUUGCGACCUGGCCAAGAUAAAGCACAACUUUGUAAGGACUGUUUGUGUAAAUAGUUUCUGAAAAAAGUGUGGCCAGCUCAAAUGCUUAUUGUUGCGUCAUUUGAAACUGGCCAUUCUAAUCACACAGGGUGUGAUCGUAGCUUCAGGGACAGCUGUAGAACGAUCACACCUGUGUGAUGGUACGUGUGAAAGGGUUCAUUUAUAAGCAGAAUUUUUCUCCACACACAUUAUAUAUGGAACAAUCUGGAUAUAUUGUAUAAAAAUAGUUUGUUUUUAGAAUAUAAGUUCUGAAAUAAUAUCCUAUUGGUGAGCCAACUGGUAAACGCAGAGGGUAUUUUACUCAGUUAUAAGGAAUUCUUAUCACUUUACAAGUUCCCUGUAACACCUAAACAUUUUGCAAUUGUCUUUGAUUCCAUUCCCUCAGGUGUUGCUUUAUUAUUCAGGAACGUGUCAAGACCUGACCCUCAGAACCUACCUUCUGUUGAACCUGUUGACUCAUCAGUAGGAAAGAUUUGUUUCUCUUUUGGUCCAUUCAACAAUAGGAAUACGAACCUUGUUUCAGCAGGAUGUUGUAUCUAUACCUUAUGUCAUGCCUUAUUGGAAUGGAUUUAUUGAUAAUAUCUGUUGCAAAAAAAGUUUGGAUGUUGCCAGACACAACUUCCUUAAAUUUUUGUUAACAAGUAGGUUUGUUUAAAAAAUAUAAAUAUUAUUCUUCCAACAACUACAUGAAGAAGUUUAAGGAAAACAUCAACUCAAAUUGCUCCUUUUGUAAUGACCACCCAGAAACAGUGUUGCAUCUUUUUUGGCAUUGUAUUCAUGUAAGAAAACUGGCAAGACAUCAGUAGAUUUAUAAUUGAACAUAUUCAUGAGGAUCUUACACUUGUAGAGAGAUGUACUGCUUGGAUUCUUUACCUAUGAUAGAAAUAAGCUGAAACAUUUGUCAUUAAUUUCAUUAUUCUUUUGGCAAAUUUCAUAUUCACAAAUGUAAAUUUACAAGCAAAACACAUUUUCUUACCUUACAAAAAGAAAUGGAACUGUAUUUUAAGACAAUUAAAUACUCUUAACAAAAAAGCUGUUAGAAUAAUAAGUAUGUCCCUUAAGGUCCUUGUGUAAUGUGAUAUUGUAGCCCCACCCCUAGCCCAAUUGUCCUUUGUAUAUUAUUUAUAUAUACUUGUGUUCCCACAUGUACUUCCUGUAUUGAUUUUGUUGUUAAUAAAAUGAAACUGGUAAAUUUU